GGCAAGUGAUUGGAGUCCCUUUCCAGUUUGGAAACAUCUGGGCAGGCCCAGCUGAUAAGGUUACUUUUCUACUUUGAACAAGCAAACAAGCCAACAGAAGAGAAGUUUCACAAGCAACUCCCAGCACAUCCGCUCACCUAGUGUUGUCUGUGACCUCACUCUCGGUGCCCCACCUCUUAUUACAGAUUGAACAGGGUCCAGGGGGAAGGACCAAGCCUGUCCCAUCGGCCAUCCUAUGUGUCAUGUCCUGGGACCCAGUGGAUGCUCAGCACCUGAAGAAGAUUGUCUUAGACACAUGGAAGCUGAGGACGCCUACUGUCCCCUCGGAACCCAGGUGGGGCUGGGAGUCUGCUGUUUGUAUAGCCGGUGGGCUCGUGUUGCUUUGGGCAUCCCUGUGUCUGAAUUCCUGCAGUACACUCGGUGGUUUUACCUGAACCACCAGCUUCUGCAUCUCUGAAGACAGAUGAUGAGGACCCUUCACGUAAGCCGUUCGCACAGCCCUGUGCAGGCCUUUGUGCUGCACGUUCUGCCCGGCGAGAUAACUGAGUGCAUUCCAUGGUGCAUCCUCGCCUAGAAUUGAGUGGAAGCAAGUCCAUCUCAGAAGGGACAUAACUGAAGAGGGAUGGCUUUCCAGACUCUGAUGGGCAGCGAGAGCUGCAGCCUGGCCCUGUGUAAAACAUGAAGCGUGGACGGCCUGUUGAGCACAGCUCUGCCCUCAAGACCUGUUUCAACUCCUCUCUUCCCGGAAAACAGCAUCUCUGAGCCCGCCCUUGGUGACCUCAGAGAGAUCACCCUAGUGGCCCAGGCUAGUGACCGGGAACAUGUACCUUCCUGCAGCCAACCCCAGACGUCCACUGAUGCAUCAUAUACUGGCAAAGAUCCUGGCCUAGGGGGGCCUUGGCCGCUGGAGAUUCGCCAGAUGUUGGACUCCAGGUAAGCUUGC